AGGCCACUAUAGCAACAGCAGCAGCUGUGUGUGUGUGUGUGUCGGACCAUCAGUCACUUGGUCUGUGGGCGGAGUCUGAGUCACAGCAUCACAUGAGAUGGAAUUGACAGGUCAGGUCUCAUGUCCACAUGGACGCCAGAAUCCCACAUCCAGAACCGAAGUCAUGAACUGCCCUCUAGUGGCUGAUGUCACACAGGUCAGAGGUCAUUUCCACUCCAACACUUACAGAGAAAUCCAGUCUGGAUGGGAUGUGUGAUCUGCAGUCGCCACCUGGUGGUGCUUCGUCAGAGUUUCUUCUUCUGGAGAAACCAACAAGACAACCUAAACUCACGGAGUUAUUGGAAAUAUUCCAGCUUCCACACUUACAAUUUCACAGUAGAACACAUUUUAAAUAAACAGUAAAUACGCUAUUGGAAAAAGUGCUACCAGUAUAUAUACAUUAUAGAUUAUAGAUUUUGUGAAUUAUCACGGUACAUGAAUAUUAUGAUCUUAGUACAUCACUGUACCCGGUACAACCACCACAGGACAUUUGUAAGGGAUGUUUUUAGUUUAAGGGUGACAGAUUCUUAUAAAAAUAUUUCUGAUGGUAGCCUAUAUUUUCAAAAUUCUUAUUUUUAGACUAUGAGUAUAACAUCAAUUCACUUUAUAAUAUGCAUCACUCUGAACUUUGACCUUGGAAGUCAAAGUUUUUUGGAAGUUCCACGAAAUGAUUAAUUAACAAAUUAAUAGUUUUUCUAGAUGCUAGAAAAUUCUGUUAAAAUAUAUAGUCAAACUAUUUAUAUUUUUCAAUAAACUGUUAUUGUCACCAUAUUUACAUGAUGAUCCAAAUGCAAUAUGACGAUUAAUUAGGCCUACGUUUUUCAAAUUAAAAGCAUAUUGGGAGUCAGACUAGUUUUUCUGCACUGUGGAAGCAAUAUAAGUUUGUUUAAUGUUACAGUUUUUCUCAGUCGCUUUGGUACAUUUCUCGAAUCAAACUCACAAUUUGCAAAACAGUAAGUGCAUUUCUCAAAACAAUUUGUACAAAUAGCAAAACACCAUGGAUAACCUGCAAAAGCCACUCUCUUACUCAAAAUCCUUAGUUCAUCUCUCAAAAGUAAAUAUCUGUGUCAAUGAACAUGUCAGUGCCAUCAGAAUGACAAGUCCUUGUGUCAUUGUGUACGGAUAAGACAGUCAAAUUGUUUAGU